rnacentral:rRNA from 1 species
UACGGGGGGGGUAAGCGUUGUUCGGAAUUACUGGGCGUAAAGGGCUCGUAGGCGGCCAACUAAGUCGGACGUGAAAUCCCUCGGCUUAACCGGGGAACUGCGUCUGAUACUGGAUGGCUUGAGUUUGGGAGAGGGAUGCGGAAUUCCAGGUGUAGCGGUGAAAUGCGUAGAUAUCUGGAGGAACACCGGUGGCGAAGGCGGCAUCCUGGACCAACACUGACACUGAGGAGCGAAAGCCAGGGGAGCAAACGGG